GCAUGUUCCCUUCAUUUAGCCAAACGAUGCUGUUUGAGGUCUAUGAUCCCAGCCGUUGAUCUUCAUUCACCAGACAGUUACGAACUGGCUUACCUAAUGCAUAUAACUGUCGGAAUAGAUCCUAACCCCCUUCCCCGGUUUCAUCUCUUCACUGCAUCUCCUUCUUCAGAGACUCUCAAAGAACCUUAGCGCCGCCCUAAAAUUCCCAAACCUCUCCUGUUGCGCGGCGCCUCAAAUCACCCCUGAAAUCACAUCCCCCAUAACCCUUAGCGCGUCCUCUUUCCAUAACCCAAAACUACUUCCCUAGAAUCCUUCUACGUCUUUUCGAAUUUUGAAUCUAAGGUUGAAGCCCUAAAUCCCAAAAUCAACUUCCAUAAAAUCUGUAGCAUGCAAUGAUAAGGGAAACAAUUACGCACGAAGGUAACAUUGUCUGUUUGUUCUUGAUAAGAACACACGGUUGACAUCAACUUUGGGCUCAAAUCGAUGUAAGCCGGAAUCACACUGAAUCAACUUAGGUAUUUGUUUCUUUUGUUUUUCCUUCUACCGUUUCAUCUUUCUAUUUUCUUUCUCUUUUUUCUAGCUUUAUUUAAUUAGUCUUUUUCUGACCAAAAUUUAAUUAAAAAAAUUCAAUUUAUGAAGUUAGUUCUUUUCCCUUUUUUUUGGUUGUCUAUAUUUGUGUUUGAAAUGUUUAUUUUCUGGUUUUGUUCAUUUGAAGUCGUUGUUGAUUACUUUUUUUUCAUGACAGUAUGUUAACUUCUGUUCUUUUCCUUUUGUUAAUCAAAUUAGAAAUCUGUUCUCCCUCCCUUCUUUUUCUUUUAGCCAGUUCAAGUCAAUCAGCAUUACUAUGUUCGUUAUUUUGUUUUCCAAAUGGUUAAUUUCUUUAUCUUCUGUGAACUUAAUCCUUUUGGAUUUUUUGUUUAAUUGGUUCAACAGUUUGGAUGCCUCCUUUCAGUUUGUAGUGAUCCAGACUUAGGGCAUUAGAAUCCCAUCUUUUUUUAGGCCUGGGUUUGGAUUCAAGCAUCCUGUUUUGGCUCAGGCUAGAGAGGGUAAAUAACAUGGUCUUAAAGGGCAGUUUGGGAAGUCUGGACAAAAGAAUCUUGUUGAACAGAUUUAGGAAGGUGGGUUUGGAACUGUUUUAAAAAACAGACUUUUAAAUUAAGGACUUACUAGCAAGAAAAAAAUUUGAAAAGAAGUAAUGGGCAAAGUUUGAACCAUUUAGAGCUUCUCUAUAAAAGGCUGAUUACUUCACUCUCAAGUUAUAUUUUGAGAGACUGAAAAAUACUGAAAAUUUUAGAAGCAGUUGAGUUCUCUUUCAAAUCCCAAAAUACUGAAAAUUGCUUAAAUUGUACUUGGUUUUUGAUUCUCUGAUUCCCUUUGUUAAAUGGAACUUUUGCAAAACUCCAAAAUCGUGCACAUGGGUUGAAAAAUGGCUUGAGUUAGUUUAAAAGUUUGGUUUGAUUUGCUGUUUCAUUGUUGUUGAAGUACUGAACUUCUGCAUUUUGCUGACUCUUAAGCACAACUUCUUCUUUUGUUUUGAUUUCUUUAUCCAGGUAUGCCUUGUCUCUUGUUUAGCGUAUGAGGUGCAAAUAUGAAGCCAUGUAAUCCAAGUUGAAGAAAAUGACAAAUUCUAGUUUUCUAUUGUUGAUCAGCAGCUCGAAUUUGUUGUAUUUUGUUUGUGUAUCUUUAAGUCUAGCUUCCUAUGUGUAUUUCAUUCAUGUCAUCAUUAUUACAUUUUGUCCUAAGGUUUGGAUCUUGUAUGCUAUUUGAAUAUAUUUUGAUUCAAGAGUGCUUUUAGACUUAGGAUAAUAUGUAUGAAUUGAGGACUGUGAUUCUUUAAUUCGACUGUUGUGGCUGGUUGCUUUGGAGGUGUUUCUUAUGGAUAUGAUUUAAAUCAUCCAUGUUGUCUGUUUAGCAAAUCUGGUCUAGUCUUUGUUUUCCAUUAGUUUGGUUUUUCUAUUUAUCUUCGUUUGCUUACUCAUAGGCUCAACUAUUUCAGUUUUGGCGUUUAGUUUUUCUUUGCUCAUGUAUGAGUACCAUGAAUUUAUAAAGGUUGUCAAUUGAAUUUUGAACUUGAUUU
rnacentral:lncRNA from 1 species